rnacentral:rRNA from 1 species
AUUGAACGCUGGCGGCAGGCUUAACACAUGCAAGUCGAGCGAGCGGCGGACGGGUGAGUAAUGUCUGGGAAACUGCCUGAUGGAGGGGGAUAACUACUGGAAACGGUAGCUAAUACCGCAUACCAUCAGAUGUGCCCAGAUGGGAUUAGCUAGUAGGUGGGGUAAUGGCUCACCUAGGCGACGAUCCCUCGCUGGUCUGAGCGGCUGACCUGCCACACUGUGACUGAGACACGGUCCACACUCCUACGGGAGGCAGCGGGGGGGGAUAUUGCACAAUGGGCGCAAGCCUGAUGCAGCCAUGCCGCGUGUGUGAAGAAUGCCUUCGGGUUGUAAAGCACUUUCAGCGAUGAGGCGUUACUCGCAGAAGAAGCACCGGCUAACUCCGUGCCAGCGGCCGCGGUAAUUC